rnacentral:rRNA from 1 species
UACGGAGGGUGCAAGCGUUAUCCGGAUUCACUGGGUUUAAAGGGUGCGUAGGUGGGUUGGUAAGUCAGUGGUGAAAUCUCCGAGCUUAACUUGGAAACUGCCAUUGAUACUAUCAGUCUUGAAUAUUGUGGAGGUUAGCGGAAUAUGUCAUGUAGCGGUGAAAUGCUCAGAUAUGGCAUAGAACACCAAUUGCGAAGGCAGCUGGCUACGCAUAUAUUGACACUGAGGCACGAAAGCGUGGGGAGCAAACAGG